CCUACGGGUGGCAGCAGUGAGGAAUAUUGGUCAAUGGCCGGAAGGCUGAACCAGCCAUGCCGCGUGAAGGUCAGUGCCCUAUGGGCGUUAAACUUCUUUUGUGCGGGAGCAAUAAUGGUCACGUGUGGCCAGACGAGAGUACCGUACGAAUAAGCAUCGGCUCACUCCGUGCCAGCCGCCGCGGUAAUACGGGGGAUGCCAGCGUUAUCCGGAGUUAUGGGGUUUUAAGGGGGCGUAGGGUGUGAGGUAAGUCAGCGGGGAAAUGCCCCCGCGCAACGGGGUGGAGUGCCAUUGAUACUGCCUUGCUGGAAUGCGGAUGCGGUGGGAGGAAUGUGUGGUGUAGCGGUGAAAUGCAGAGAUAUCACACAGAACACCGAUUGCGAAGGCAGCUCACGAAUCCGCGAUUGACGCUGAUGCACGAAAGCGUGGGUAUCAAACAGGAUUAGAUACCCUAGUAGUC
rnacentral:rRNA from 1 species